AAAACCUCCUGUCUCAAAAUAAGAAGGGCUGGGGAUGUGGCUCAGUGGCUAAGCACCCUGGGUUCAGUCCCUGGUAUUAAAAAAAAAAAAAAAAAAGAAGGAAGGAGAUGAGAAUGAGAAGUCUCCAGGCAGAUCACAUCAGCCCAGUAGUUUACAGUAUAGAUUUUGUCUUUUAUUCUUAGUGCUGUGUAAAGCUCUUAAAGAUUAUAAACAAGAGCACCCUAUGAUAUAAUAUAAUUUUUAAAGUGUUAUGGCUGCUUCUGAAGAAUGACUUGUAGGGGGGCAAAAGUGGAAGCAAAGAGAGAGGUAGAGGCUAUUGCAGAAGCCCAGGUGAGUGGUGUUUUAGUUGGGUUGUGGAGAUGGUGAACAUGAACAGAAACAGUGACAUCAACAUAUAUUUUAGACAUAGAAUCAUAAGGACUUGCUAAUGAGUUGGAUUUGGAUAUGAAGGAAAGGAAGAAUCAAGGGUAAGACUUAGUUUUGGCCUAAAAAAUUGGGUGGAUGAUAAAGAUCCAUUCCAGAUUAUAUCUAGAAUCUGACCCUGUUUUACUAGGUUUUCCACCAUUUCCCAGCCAAAGUUUCCAUCCACAUUAUCUCUGAUCUGGACUAUUGCAAAAGCUCCCCAAAUGGUCUCAGUUUUCAUCCAUACUGUGCCUCAUUUAAUCUAUUUACAGAGACAAGAGUAUUCCUAUUAAAAUAGAAAUCUACUUAUGUCCUGCAUGUGUUGAAAAUCCUCCCUCUUCCUCAGAAUAAAAGUUCAU
rnacentral:lncRNA from 1 species